CAGAGUCUCCUUCAUGUACAGGGAGGAGA
rnacentral:miRNA from 1 species